GCAAGUUAAAAGAAGAGAUGAAUUGGAGGAAAAAUGAAAAGGAGCCAAACUAUUAGAUCAUUCCAGAUCUAGGACCAAAAUCUAGAUCAGCCUCAAAGAAGAAUUCACAUUCAAAGCAAACCAUUCAAAGUGAUUUACUUCUUUCAUACUCAUCCUAGGUAUGCUCUGAUCCCUCUGAUCCAAUUCAUAUGUUGAGAAGAGAGAAACAAAAAUAUGGUUUCCGACUAGAAAAAACAAAUACCAUUAGAACCAAGUUCAAAGGAUUAUCACCACCAUUAGGCACAAAUAUGAACCUCUUGAGAUGAGCAAGCAGUCACCGAGUUCAGCAAUGAGUUGAGAGCGAGUUGAACGGUGAAGAAUAAAGAACCCGUGAAGAGAGAAUGUCUUCAUCGGACAUCGCAGCAGAGAUGUUGCUCUCUUAACAGCUUCAGCUUUCUUGCUUCCUCUUUUCAAGAAUUGUUAUCCUACAAAACU
rnacentral:lncRNA from 1 species